GUGACGUCUAUUCCACUUCCUGUCUCUAUGAAUUUGCCUGUUCCAGGGACCUCCUAGAAGCAGGAUCAUACAAUAUUUGUCCUUCUGUGCCUGGCUCAUUUCACUGGGCAUCACGUCCUCAAGGCUCAUCCGUGUUGUAGCAGGUGUCCGAAUUUCCUUCCUUUUCAAGACUGAAUAAUGUUCCAUCGUCUGGCUGGACCACAUUGCGUUUAUCCAUCGUCCAUCGAUGGAGACUUGCGUUGUCCACCUUUUGGCUGCCGUGAAUCACACUGCUGUGAACACAGGUGCACAGUCGAAUUCCAUGGUAUGAGACACCCUGUGUGUUAUCCAUUCGCCCGCUGGAAAUCAUUUAGAUCAUAUCGAGUUGUUGGCGAUUACGAAUGACGCCAUUAUAGACAUCUGUGUCGAGGUUUCCUUGUGAACACAAGCUUUUAUUUCUCCUGGGAAAAUAUCUAUGAAUGGCAUUGCUG
rnacentral:lncRNA from 1 species